CAACAGCUAGAGUUUGAUCCUGGCUCAGGACGAACGCUGGCGGCGUGCCUAACACAUGCAAGUCGAGCGGGGUUGAAGCGAGAGGUAACUCGAACUUCUACCUAGCGGCGGACGGGUGAGUAACGCGUGGGCAACCUGCCUCAAGGUUUGGGAUAACAGCCCGAAAGGGCUGCUAAUACCGGAUAUGCCUAUGGCCUCGCAUGGGGCUAUGAGCAAAGGGGAAACCCGCCUUGAGAUGGGCCCGCGUCCCAUCAGCUAGUUGGUGAGGUAACAGCUCACCAAGGCGACGACGGGUAGCCGGCCUGAGAGGGUGACCGGCCACACUGGGACUGAGACACGGCCCAGACUCCUACGGGGGGCAGCAGUGGGGGAUCUUGCACAAUGGGCGAAAGCCUGAUGCAGCGACGCCGCGUGAGCGAAGAAGGCCUUCGGGUUGUAAAGCUCUGUCUGGAGGGACGAACAAAAUGACGGUACCUCCGGAGGAAGCCACGGCUAAACUACGUGCC
rnacentral:rRNA from 1 species